GGUAAGGACAUCCCUGUUACACCUUGCUCAACUUUGCCUUCCUCAGCCUGUGUUUUUUUUUUCCCAAAUCCUUUUCACUUUCCAGACUUUCGUCAUUACUGAAAUACAAUUUUAGUAAUUUCAGUUUCACCCCCUCCUCUCCCCAGCAUUCCGGUGGUGCUUACACUGGGAUAUCGGGUUUCCGGAGCUCUCUGCUGAUGACGGCUAUUGUCGCUUUCAACGUUCCGUCCCAUCCCCAUUCACAAGCAAUGCAGCCUUUGCAGUUACAGCGGGAGGCUCUGGCCCCCAGCUUUUCUCUCACUCCGAGUUGUUCUUACAAGCCGCGGUGAGAGGGGUGGUAUGGGGGAUGUGUUCUCGUUCCCACCCAAACUCUAAUAUCCCAAACUCACUGUUUUCCUUAACCUUUUUGCCGUUGUUGUUUUUUUUUUUUCCCCCCCACAAUUCCACCAUUUGUACCCUCAAUUACAUUUCCAUGUACCAUUAACAAAUGCACUUCCAUACAGCAUCAAGACAGUUUCUCCCACUGCCUUCAAAAUCCACAAAUAAAACAACACAGUUCUUCAACUUCCACAAACAUCCAGCACUUGGUCUCAUCAUUAGGGUACUCAAUUAUAAAACUGGUCCAUUACUCCAUUUAUGUUCCUGGUUUCUUAUUCAGUAUUCCCCCUGGCUGACCAGCAAUGUUUCUCCAGUGAGCCAAAAUACAAACUAGGGUAUCUAUUUGGUAUCACUUUAGACACUCUCUGUUCCAUAACAGCCUCGUACACGACAUAACGCUUUCACAACAUAAACAUUUAACAAUCACAAAGACAGUGACAAUAAUCAGUACAAUUUAUCUUCAGGAUCCUUCCUCUCUCUGCCUCCCUCCAGGGCCCAACCUUCCCUCUGUAUUAAUUUCCCACACUUGCACAGCUGACCACCUCCUUCUCCAAUAAGCAACAUAUCAGUGAUAAACAUUAUUUCCAUCCAUAAGUAGAAAUUAGGCCCUAGAAAUUGAUCUAAUUUUUCUGCUACACUUACAGAAUCCUCAAUUAAGGAACUCUUUUUGAAACUGCUAACUUUUUUUCUAGUAAAAACAGCAGGCAUUAACAUACCCUAUUUCCCUUUGACCUAAGGAGACUGCCCUAAGAGGAUAAAGUGAAGUAUUGUAAGGUUAAUGUUAGAGAAAGGAAAACCUCUCCAGGUCCCAUUCACACUGCUCCAACUCCCUCAGCAGUCGAGAGCGCAUCCUUUCUCCAGGACCUGCACAGGAUCAGCAGCACGGGCAGCACAGAAUGAAUUGUUUCUGUGGUAAGCAAAGAGGAAAUCUCAUUUCGUAUAAAUAUUGCAAAAAACUGUUAAAACCUCCAUGAACAUCUUUCAUAUAUAAACUUUAACAUGGAGUAUGAGGUAUAGAGUUUCUUUUCAUAUACAAGGUUUAUAGCAGAGGUUCAAGUACAUAUUAAUAUAGAAGUUAUAAUGUACUCUGAAUUAAACUGUCAGAAUCUAGGGCUUCUCAUAUCACUUUUGAAGAGUGUCACAGAAAAAGAAGCAUCUGUACUGGAUUACCAUGAAGGUUUCUACUACGUUGCAAUAAAUACGGCAAUCUGUUUUAUUUUUAUAUAUUUUUUAUGAAGAAGCAAAAGUGCAUCUUCUACAGUUGCCUUUCAAAAAUCACUUAUCUAUAUGGAACACCUAUAAAUAAUUGAAGCUAAACAUUAUUUAUGGAUACAUUACUGUAACGAUCAGAAAGGUCAUCACAGUGAAUGGAAAAUACAGGAGUGCAGUAACAAAGGGACUAGCGAGAAUGGAAUGGUGUUACAAAACUCCUAUACUUCAUAGAAGGGUGUUCCAUUCCUUGGAUGAUUUUUGUGGCCCUCCUCUGGACACAUUCCAACAUAUCUAUGUCUCUCUUGUACUGAGGAUUCCACAUCUGGACGCAGUACUGCAGGUCAACAUGACAGUGACAAAGGAGCAAAGAGGCUGUACUGCAGCUACAUCUUGUGACAAUUUUACAUGGAGGAACUGAAGUCAGUCUGAUUGCUGACAGUGCAGUCAGAUCCCAGAGUAAUAGAAACUCAUUCUGUAUUCUAGUAUACCCAGCAGAUGCAGAUUCACCUUUGGAACCAAGGUGGGAAGGGCCCUAUCAAGCACUUUUGACCACUCAUACAGCAGCUAAGGUGGAAGGACUGAUCCCGUGAAUAUAACAUAUCCGCCUGAAGAAGAUCGCCCAACCACGGUGGACUGUUGAAGAGAAGGAACCUCUUAAGCUUAAACUUAAGAAGACAACAUGAAGAUAUUAUUUCUUGUAAAUAGUGUUUGUAUAGAACUUAUUUUGGCUUGGUGGAAUAAUGCUUUUAUACAAAUGACAGGAAAUCUCACUUGGGUCCUGAAUAUUUCAAAUUGUUGGGUGUGUACAGCCUUCCAAGAGAUGGAGGGAUGGAACUUGAACUCUCUCAAUAUGGGAUUCCAUCUGCCAAUUGGACACUAUGGAAUGGGGCAGGAGGUAGACAUAGUGUCUAAGUGAAAAUAUGAGCAUAGAAAUAAAGGGACCUAAAUUCAAUUUACAACUUUGGGCAGAUAGUAAUAUUUCAUUACUUAGGAGAAAUGGUACAGGUAGGCAAACAGAUACAGGGGAAUUUAAUUUAUCUCCUCAUGAUGGAGUACAGUUUUGUAAUCUUGAGGGUCCAAGGAAGGGUGGAAUAAAUGACGCUUUAAUAUUGUGUUCUGUAAAGGAGAGUGCCCCUUGGGCCCAGGGUUGUAGUGGCUCUGUAGUGAUGGACAGGCAAGGAAGACCCUACCAAAGAACUGGAAAGGACAUUGUGUAGGGGGAUAUUUAGUGCCUCAGAAUUCCUUUUUCAAUGGGACAGUUCUUCCUUCCAGGUUACUGAGAACUCAUUGGAAGAGGGUGAAACAUGUAAGUAAUUGCCUUAUAGAAAAACUGACCGGCUUCCAUAGCUUUGCUAGAUGAUUUAUCCCGUUCCUGGGAGGAAGUGAAUUAGAAAAAACAAUAGUUAAUAUUUCAGCUACUUUGGAGAUAAUAGAAAAUGCAACAGUGGACACAAUAAGAGCAUUAUAAAUAGAAGUUUCAACAUUAAGUAAAGUAGUGCUGCAGAAUAGGAUUGCGCUAGAUCUAUGAACAGAAAAGAGGGGAGAGUUUGUGUAGUUACUACUAGCUGUUGUGCGUACAUAGCUGAAACUCAAGGGAUAGAAACCAAUCUGUAAACUAUAGGGGAACGCCCUGAGUAUGCACAGCGCUGAUUGAAAACAUACCUGCUUUUAUAACUACUUUGUGGUUAUAGAGUCUGAUUCUGCAAGUCAUAUCCCAAAGGACUGUUCUGUUUCCAUUUUCCAUUCAGAGGGAAAGAUGAAACUGUUCACAGGUCAUGAGACAUCCCCCUUCUUUUUCACUUUCUGCUCAUCUCUGCAGUGUGUGGUCCCUAGCCAUCUCACCUUCAGCAUUAGAGUAAGGUCUUUGGUUUUUGGACACUCUCUCUCUCAUUUUAUUUGAUUUAUUAGCUUCAAUUCCAAUUGUAUUAUAUUGUUUUAUCUUGUGUUCCACUAUCAUAUUUAGUAAAUUAGUUUUCCUCCUCA